CAAAACAACCAAAAAGGGAAUAGUUAGAACAGAGACCAGCAGAAGAAAAGAAAAUCUUGGUCUUUACUACAAACGCAGACUGGCAAGAAGAGAUACGCGACCGAGAAAUACACACUUACAGAUUUAGUUUUUGCUCAAGUCUAGAGGUAUUCAGGGUCAGUUGUUUAUCAUAAUGCUUUCAAACUCAUUUACAUCUUCAUAAUUCAGCAAAAAAAACCCAGUGGUAGGAUCUGUACAAGAGGUCUAGUAUGAAUCUAGCUCUCUGCAGGCUUGAGGGUUGCUCAAGAGCUAAAGCCAGCCCUGAAAGCAUUUGCCCCUGUUUUUAAUUAAGGUGCCUCCAGUUGAUGCUCCUGGGAUCCCCUCAAAGUUGUGUCCUCUCUGGAUCUGGAUUUAAGCUGCUUCCCUUAAGGAAAAGCACUGCACAUCCCUGUCAGAGAUGAAGAGUGCACGUUUCCUUCCCAACAUCAACACAAGCUAAAGAGUGGCCAACUGGAAGCAGGUACCUGUCAACUGGCAAGAUCUCCAGAGUGAAAUGUCAUUACAGAGCAAUGUGAAGCACUCCCAUGUGUGCUAGCAGGGUUAAAAAUGGUGACUUACCAAGCUCUGCGCGUUCCAAGUGAACCAAUGGAAAGACCUCACCACAUCAAACCACAGCUGCUUUGCUCCCUAGCUGCUUUCAGCCAGGGUAAGUACUGUCUGUACUUCUUCCAAAGAGGUGUUUGGUGAGUUACCACCAAACUCUUGGCAUACAUGUUCUCUCUCCCUUUUUUUUUUUUUAUAUUAACCAGCCAGUGGAUCCAUUUUCUCUCAUACACACCCCUCCCUUAACAGCCUGCAACUUGAGAUUCUGUACCAGCUCCUAAUUACUAUCUUUAUUUCCUCUCCCACAGCAUUGUGCCAA